GAUGAACGCUGGCGGCGUGCCUAAUACAUGCAAGUCGAGCGAACGGACGAGAAGCUUGCUUCUCUGAUGUUAGCGGCGGACGGGGGAGUAACACGUGGAAAACCUACCUAUAAGACUGGGAUAACUUCGGGAAACCGGAGCUAAUACCGGAUAAUAUUUUGAACCGCAUGGUUCAAAAGUGAAAGACGGUCUUGCUGUCACUAAUAGAUGGAUCCGCGCUGCAUUAGCUAGUUGGUAAGGAAACGGCUUACCAAGGCAACGAUGCAUAGCCGACCUGAGAGGGUGAUCGCCCACACGGGAACUGAGACACGGUCCAGACUCCUACGGGAGGCAGCAGUAGGGAAUCUUCCGCAAUGGGCGAAAGCCUGACGGAGCAACGCCGCGUGAGUGAUGAAGGUCUUCGGAUCGUAAAACUCUGUUAUUAGGGAAGAACAUAUGUGUAAGUAACUGUGCACAUCUUGACGGUACCUAAUCAGAAAGCCACGGCUAACUACGUG
rnacentral:rRNA from 1 species